CUUUGUCGCUAAGAUUCGAC
rnacentral:snRNA from 1 species